rnacentral:rRNA from 1 species
UACGUAGGGUGCGAGCGUUGUCCGGAAUUAUUGGGCGUAAAGAGCUCGUAGGCGGCCUGUCGCGUCGGAUGUGAAAGCCCGGGGCUUAACCCCGGGUCUGCAUUCGAUACGGGCAGGCUAGAGUGUGGUAGGGGAGAUCGGAAUUCCUGGUGUAGCGGUGAAAUGCGCAGAUAUCAGGAGGAACACCGGUGGCGAAGGCGGGUCUCUGGGCCGAUAUUGACGCUGAGGAGCGAAAGCGUGGGGAGCAAACAGG